AACGAACGCUGGCGGCAGGCCUAACACAUGCAAGUCGAGCGAAGCCUUCGGGCUUAGCGGCGGACGGGUGAGUAACGUGUGGGAACGUGCCCUUUGGUACGGAAUAGCCCCGGGAAACUGGGAGUAAUACCGUAUGUGGUCGAGAGACGAAAGAUUUAUCGCCAAAGGAUCGGCCCGCGUUGGAUUAGGUAGUUGGUGGGGUAAUGGCCUACCAAGCCGACGAUCCAUAGCUGGUUUGAGAGGAUGAUCAGCCACACUGGGACUGAGACACGGCCCAGACUCCUACGGGAGGUAGCAGUGGGGAAUCUUAGACAAUGGGGGAAACCCUGAUCUAACCAUACCGCGUGAUCGAUGAAGGCCUUAGGGUUGUAAAGAUCUUUCAGUGGGGAAGAUAAUGACUGUACCCACAGAAGAAGCCCCGGCUAACUCCGUGCCAGCCGCCGCCGUAACAC
rnacentral:rRNA from 1 species